AUUGAACGCUGGCGGCAGGCCUAACACAUGCAAGUCGAACGAGUGGCGGACGGGUGAGUAAUGUCUGGGAAACUGCCUGAUGGAGGGGGAUAACUACUGGAAACGGUAGCUAAUACCGCAUACCAUCGGAUGUGCCCAGAUGGGAUUAGCUAGUAGGUGGGGGAAAGGCUCACCUAGGCGACGAUCCCUAGCUGGUCUGAGAGGCUGACCAGCCACACUGGAACUGAGACACGGUCCAUACUCCUACGGGAGGCAGCAGUGGGGAAUAUUGCACAAUGGGCGCAAGCCUGAUGCAGCCAGGCCGCGUGUGUGAAGAAGGCCUUCGGGUUGUAAAGUCCUUUCAGCGGGGAGGCGUUACCCGCAGAAGAAGCACCGGCUAACUCCGUGCCAGCAGCCGCGGUAAUUC
rnacentral:rRNA from 1 species